GACGAACGCUGGCGGCGUGCUUAACACAUGCAAGUCGAGCGGUAAGGCCCUUUCGGGGGUACGACGAGCGGCGAACGGGUGAGUAACACGUGGGUGACCUGCCCUCAGCUCUGGGAUAAGCCUGGGAAACUGGGUCUAAUACCGGAUAUGACUCCAUGACGCAUGUUGUGGGGUGGAAAGCCUUGUGCGGCUGAGGAUGGGCCCGCGGCCUAUCAGCUUGUUGGUGGGGUGANGGCCUACCAAGGCGACGACGGGUAGCCGGCCUGAGAGGGCGACCGGCCACACUGGGACUGAGACACGGCCCAGACUCCUACGGGAGGCAGCAGUGGGGAAUCUUGCGCAAUGGGCGAAAGCCUGACGCAGCGACGCCGCGUGAGGGAUGACGGCCUCGG
rnacentral:rRNA from 1 species